GAAGAAUGGAGAAGAAUUGUAGGGCCCAAGAUCAGAGAGAUGAGUAGGGCCAGAUCAUGUGGGCAAGCUUUUAUGUAUUAGCACGCUUAGAAUUAAUAUUCUGCUUGAGAACUAACCUGAUAUUUGAAACAGAGUGAAAAAGAAAAUACCUCCCACAGUAUACUUCAUAGCUUCUUAUUUAGCCCAAGCUGUCAGGGAAAUAAAGUCCAGCUAUGGCUAAGUUUCACAUAAUGCACUGCUUUGGAGUUUUUGUCUCAUCUGUUAGAGUAAGAUAAGUACCACAUACUAUUAUAAGGCUAUAUAGCAUAAAAUGAUGAUGCAUUUUCUCCUGUCAUUGAUAAGAGGAUUUUUUUAAAAGUAAAUUUCUUGGUUUAGAAUUUGAAAGCAGUUUCAAACUUGGAUAACACAAUUCAGAUCUUUUUUUAAAAUUAUUUUUUAUUUAUAUUUUUUAAAUUUUUUUUUUUUGAGAUAGGGUGUGGCUCUAUCACGCAGACUGGCAUACAGUGGCACAAUCUUGGCUCAUUGCAACCUCUGCCUCCCAGGCUGAAGCCAUCCUCCCACCUCAGCCUCCCAAGUAGCUGGGACUACAGGCAUGCACCACCAUGCCUGGCUAAUUUUUGUAGAGAGGGGGUCUCACUUUGUUACCCAGACUGGGAGAUUUUUCUGUACUUGGCUGUAUGCUUUCCAUUGAUCUGCUGCUGUUUUCACUAUUAUUCCUUCUUUUGUGUGGGUAUUUUCUUUUGAUUUUUAGAAUUUUACUUGUAAACAUGCUACAUAUACAUAUAAUUUGGUGCCCUGUUUUUCCAUUUACAUAUUAUACUUUCCAUAUUAGUACAUUGUCUGAUAUUUCUGCAUAAUACUCAAUUCAACUUACCUGCUAUUGUUUUUAUCAUAUCUCUAUUACAAACAUUAGGCCCAUUUCCCUUCUUUAAAAGAGGAAAGUUUGAGGUUAUGGGCGGUGUUCUGAUAAAAUAAAUAAUAUUUUGUCAUGUUUGUUUUUUCAUUGAUUAGGAAACAUUGUUUUGAAUUUAAUGCCUCAAAUUUGGUGCACAAUAAUUUGAAGGGAAAAACUGACAAGUUUGAAAUGAACAUUGAUAUUACAUAAUUUACAUUGAAAUGAUACAUCUUUUGUAAAUUUGUAAGAAGAAUAAAUAAAUGAAAACCUGA
rnacentral:lncRNA from 1 species